CCGUUCUUGUGUUAUUCGCUGAAUUAGCAUUAUCAUUCAGUGAUUGUCAAACAGAACGCAUAGCAAAUUCCAAUUAUCCACGUUGUUGAGCCUAUCUAUUCAAAGGCUUUUACAAUACUAAUCACUGGAUACAGCU
rfam:Drosophila mojavensis strain TSC#15081-1352.22 Ctg01_11022, whole genome shotgun sequence.